UGAAGCAUAGCGCAGUAUCUCUCUGGUAACAUACAUUGUGUAUGGAAUUGAGCGUAAAGGGAAAUGAGAUGAACUUUGUACAGCUCACCUUAAUUAAGUCGUGUCCUGAUGGAAAUUAAUUUGAAUGUUAAUAGCAUGUAUAAAUGUUGUCUGAGCUUUCUCUCAGUGCCCACUUCAAGCCACUUGCACCGUCCCGGGUCUGUCAGUUCUGGGUGUUCACAUACAUUCUCCUAUUCAUCCAGCUGGCCGUCACUUUGUAUCUUGCAAGUGAUUAACAGCAAAUUCUAUGGACAAUAAGAGUUACAUCUUAGCACCUUUCCAAACAUCUGCCAGCCAGCACACCACGCUUCAGCCCCACCACAGGCUUCUGAAUUUCACGCUAUUUCAGGGGGUUCCACUGUGUUUUAUUAAAUUAAGACUGUGGAGCACCAUGUUUUUGCUGGCCCCUAGUUUUACUUUGGUUUGUAGUCCUCCUGAGCAGUGAAGGUCUGCAUGUUUGUUCCAACAAGACUUAUUUUUCUUAAUAAAUAAAUAAAUAAAUCAAAAUAAGUGGAGUUAAUUCAGUGGAGACGUACACGGGACACAACCCACAGCUUCUCCCUGAGUACGUUACGGUGUAUCGCGUACCCUCACCAGGAUCUCUCACCUCACUCUGCACAUUCAGAUCUGCCUUCUUUUCACAUCUGACGCUGCUGAUGGCUGUGAAAACGUAUCUGUGACAACGUGCCAUAAAAACAUUCACUGUUCCGCCAUCAGAAGAAAUAAAAAUGAGUGUAGUCCAAACUUCUGGAUUUUAAAUUAAGAAUGUAAAGUGAAUUUCAGCACUGAAGUGUUCACAGAGCACCUGCCUCCAUGACUGGUCGUAACUAAAAUUGUACCGGAAGUCUUCCACAUUUAUAAGACACGUGAAUGGAAUCCUGAGCAACACCGUAGAGAAGUGUUUGCAAAGCUUCAAGAUUCUCUGGUUGGUGAUAUUCUUGCCUGCGUCAUUAACUCAUGUGGGCAUUUAUCACAUCACUACUCCCAUGUUUCCACUGCCUUCUGUAGUCACGAUUUCUCUGAGAUACAAAGAUUUUACAGGUUUAACAAACUUUUUUUUUCUUUUUUUUUUUUUCUUUUGUUCGGAAUUGGGGCGAUGGAAAGCGGAGCGGAGACGCACCCAGCGGGGGCCUCUGGAAACCGUUAAGGCCGGCGACGUUCUUCGGAGGGGAGACGCUCUAUCGCGCCGGUCGCGUCGGAUGCAAAGCGACCCGUUUGAAUUGGCACAAUUACUUAACUUAUCGAUGAAUCCCACAGUGCGGCGAGAAGGAGAAGCGCGUAACAAACUGUACUUUAAAGUGUAAUUUAAG
rnacentral:lncRNA from 1 species